UUAAGCGUUGCUUCAUGGUGAAGUUUUUUUUUCUCUUGUUAACUAACAAUACAACAUUGAGAAUGGACAAUUUAAACCUCUAAUUUGUUGAUCUGGGACAUCUUAGGUCGAUGGCAUUCGUCGUCAGUCGGGUUGGCCUCAAGAGUGUGAUCUACACUUAUUUUUUGAGCUUAUUUCUGUACGAAUGACCAAAUAUUUGAAUUGUUAAUGCAGAAUGUCUCAGUUUUAGAAGGUUAAUUUUCAUAUUAUAGGAUUGAAUAUUCCGCAGUCAUUUUAGAAUCGGAUCAUUUUUACAAAAAUCUCUUUUUAUUACGGGGUGGAAGCCGGAGCGGAAACGUUUACACAAAAGGCGCUGUGUUCUCAGUGUUCGUGUGUUGUAAGCGAUCAGUUAGAAGUGAGUUUGACCUAUAAAUUAGCUCCCGAAGAUCAAUAACUAAAAAGGGUAGCUUCAGUUUCCAUUUUCCAAAUUGCAGGGAGCAGAAAGAUGCAAUCUUGUUCAUAAUCUGAAGCUAAGUUGUUAGAAUAAGCAGCCAACAAUGCGGACUCUAGUUCAGAAACUACUGCCCAGAACAACGUUCAAGCAGGUUGUUGCUUUCCGGGGAUAUUGUACUGAUAAGAUACUUGACAUUGGACAGCCUACAGCUGCUUCUCAUCCAGAGUUGAUGAAAGAAGGGGAAAUUACCCCAGGAAUAACUGCUGAUGAAUACAUUACGAGAAGAAAAAGGUUGCUGGAGCUUCUACCAGAGAAUAGUUUGGCCGUUAUUGCAGCUGCGCCAGUGAAAAUGAUGACCGAUGUGGUGCCUUACACAUUUCGACAAGAUGCUGAUUACUUAUAUGUCACUGGAUGUCUACAACCCGGUGGUUUGGCAGUUCUGAGUCAUGACUUUGGAUUGUGCAUGUUCAUGCCUGAAACAAAGCCUUAUGAUGUUCUUUGGAACGGGAAAAUUGCUGGAGUCGAUGAAGCAUUGGAAUUUUUCAAGGCUGAUGAAGCAUAUCCAUUGAGAAAGUUGCGUGAGAUACUUCCGGAUAUUAUUAGGAGGUCCUCAAAGUUGUUUCAUAAUUCAAGUACUGCCAGUCCAGCUUAUGUGGAUUUAGAGGCCUUCCGAAAAGCGGCAGAGAAUGGCCAAGUGAAAGAUAUUUCACUUUUUACUCAUGAAUUGCGGUUAAUAAAAUCAACAGCAGAGAUGAAGUUAAUGAAGGAAUCUGCUUCAAUUGCUUGUCAGGCUCUUUUGCAGACAAUGAUGCAUUCAAAGACAUAUCCUCAUGAGAGUCUGUUAUCCGCAAAGGUAGAAUAUGAGUGCAGAAUGAGAGGUGCCCAACGGAUGGCAUAUAAUCCUGUGGUGGGUGGUGGCUGUAAUGGUAGUGUUAUACAUUAUUCUCGAAAUGAUCGGAAAGUCAAAGAAGGGGAUCUUGUUCUAAUGGAUAUUGGGUGCGAAUUGCAUGGUUAUGUUAGCGAUCUUACUCGUACCUGGCCCCCUUGUGGAAAGUUUUCUGCUGCUCAGGAAGAGCUUUAUGAGCUUAUACUAUUAACAAACAAGGAAUGCAUAAAGCUUUGCAAACCUGGUGCUAGUAUACAGCACAUUCACGAAUGUGCGACGAAAAUGCUUCGAGAAGGCUUCAAAGAGCUUGGCAUUUUGAAAAACUUGAAAAGUGAUGUUUUCCACCAUCUAAAUCCCACUUCUAUAGGCCAUUACCUUGGAAUGGAUGUCCAUGAUUGCCCUAGGGUUGGUUAUGAUCGGCCGUUGAAGCCAGGUAAUAACAAUUGAACCGGGAGUUUACAUCCCAUCCAUUUUUCAAGGUCCACAGAGAUUUGCUGGUAUUGGGAUAAGGAUUGAAGAUGAAGUCCUUAUAACCGAAUCGGGUUACGAGGUCCUUACAGGCUCAAUCCCAAAAGAAAUAAAUCAGAUAGAGUCAUUGCUGAACAACUUCUGCUUUGGAUCUACAAUGCAUGGCCCAAAAUUUAUGAAAGCUUCAACCUGUUGAUCAUAUGUGGACUCUUUUUAGGCGUGACAUAUUUGAGAAUGGGAGACAAUGAUUUUAUCCAAAGUAUACUUGAGUCAGGAUUGUUCGGGAUGAUAGUUUGGUAUUUUUGAUGUGCAAAUGAGGCAUGCAAGCGCGAUGGUGAGACAAUGGGGAUGUGGAUUUUCUGUCACUAGUCUUAGCUUGAGUAUCGACGUUGAGAUGCGACCAUUGUUAUGAGUUGCACCGGUGGAGGAUUUCAGCUAGUGACAUCAAAAUUGACUAUAUCAUCUGUACUUUCUGUUUCAAAAGAAUUGCAAGGAGAGAACACAUUUUGGUUUCUUAGUAUUAGUUGUGGAGUCCUUGUCCAUUGGCAACUUGUGGUAAUCAUUGCACCGAAACGUCAUCGAAUUUAGUAGUAACUAAGCUCACUUGAUAAAGUGGCCAAAAAGAGGCACCACCACCAUCACCAUCAUCAUCCCCAUGAGGCUGCUAUUUUCACAUCACUUUCAUCUUGCUGUCAUUUCGUAUUCACCAUGGCAUAUGGGUCCGACUCGAUUCAAGCAUCGUUUGGAUCCCUUCAUCACAAUUUCCAUGAGGAAUAUAUUUUCAAUCACUAAUAUAAGUAGCCUUUUUGUACCAUCUAUAUACUUCAAUUCCAUUCAUGAUCAUGGACAGGUAGUUAGGAGGGUAGCAGUUGGUUGGUUUUUAGAUACAAUUCAUUUCAAUUUAAUUUUCCUUAGAUCCAAUGGCCUCAAUUUAAUUUUUGUAAGAAAUAAGCAGUAAUAUUUUGAAAUAAUGUUUGGUAGUUAUGGUGCAGCUUCCUGCUAUUGCUGCUUCCAUUUAUUGUGUUUUUGGUUAUGACUUCAAGGAUGCCAUCUCCUGAAUUUGUUGCCUAAAGAAAGUAUGGCACUCUCUUACUAUUGUUAA